AAGUGGAAGAGUGCUCAGGGACAGUGCCCUGGCACUGAGUUCAAGCUCCAGGACUGGAACCAAUAAAAUUUGUAAUUAUUAAUAUUAUUUAUUAAUUAAUAAAACAACUAUGUGGCUGGAUGGAGGAAAGUAGGAUGUUAGAUUCUAAAACAUGGAAUUUGCAACAGAGUAAACCAUACCAUUCUCUGUAAUUCCUCACCCUGUUACCCUUUUUCUACUGUAGGACACAUCAUAUAGUUGUAAUGAUUUCUUUUCAUAACUAUUCUAAUUCACUAAAAGAUAUGGAAGGCUAUUUCUAAUUUAUCUUUUCAUCCUCAACCUUUUGUUCGAGUGUAGUGCCUGGCAUAUC